UACGUAGGGUGCAAGCGUUGUCCGGAAUUAUUGGGCGUAAAGAGCUCGUAGGCGGUUUGUUGCGUCGGCUGUGAAAUCCCGAGGCUCAACCUCGGGUCUGCAGUCGAUACGAGCAAACUAGAGUGUUGCAGGGGAGACUGGAAUUCCUGGUGUAGCGGUGAAAUGCGCAGAUAUCAGGAGGAACACCGAUGGCGAAGGCAGCUCGCUGGGACGGUACUGACGCUGGAGACGCGAAAGCGUGGGGAGCAAACAGG
rnacentral:rRNA from 1 species